rnacentral:rRNA from 1 species
AGAGUUUGAUCCUGGCUCAGAGCGAACGCUGGCGGCAUGCUUAACACAUGCAAGUCGCACGGGCAGGGAAACCUGUCAGUGGCGGACGGGUGAGUAACGCGUAGGUAUCUAUCCUUGGGUGGGGGACAACCGUGGGAAACUACGGCUAAUACCGCAUGAUGACUGAGGUCCAAAGCCCGCGAGGGCGCCUGGGGCGGAGC